rnacentral:misc_RNA from 1 species
AAGUCGUAACAAGGUUUCCGUAGGUGAACCUACGGAAGGAUCAUUACAAAUAAAGCCGGUAGGAGGUGGGGUCUUGAUCUGUAAGUGGUAGAGCGAACAGUCCGGCUGCCUCCCGAAAUGUCUUACAUGGCCCCCCACAGCCUGAAGGCCGAAUUACAACCCCUUGAUUAUCCUAACACUUGUUGCUUUGGGGUGCUCAAGUGCCCCAGAGGACCCAAAAUCUUUUAGCAAUUUUAGUGACGGUCUGAGUACUAUAUAAAUAUUUAAAAA